UCAUUCUUCUUUUGGAUGAUCUCAUUCUUCUUUUGGAUGGACUCAUACCCUAAGUAAGCGAUCACUUAUGUUUCCUGCUUGCUACUCUAUUUCCUUUGUUGUAUUAUUUGAUAAUUGAAUUUAAAGUUAAUAACUGCAAAAAAUGAUUAUUUAAGAAUAUAUGGGGAACAAGUCUAUCUGCAUAAGGAUGCAAUUGGAUGUUUACGUCAGAGAAGUUGUUUGUUUCUUUUAUUAAUAUGAGAGGUCUAUCUCAUAUUUAUAAAUAGUCUAUAUAAUUUAGAUUGUUAUAUUUGUUUCAUAGAUUUUAGUUUCAUAGAUUUUGAAUAUGAUUCAUCCCCAAAACCAAUUUGUUUUCUUCCACCCUUUAUCUAACAUUAAAAUCAUAUUAUACAGUUUUCCAAUAUCAUUUCAUCAGAAGGUUCAUUUUCCCCUUGAUCUACAUUGAGAUGAAGUUCUUCUUGGAUCUCAUCAAUAUCUUCAUUAUCAUUUUGAUAUUCAACCUCAUUUUCCUCAUUAGAUAUAUUGAUGUAUUUAAAACUAACUGUUGGUGUUUAAUUUGUGGAUCAAAAUUUCAAGCUUGAGUGGAAAUUGAAAUAACAAUACCUCUAACCAGAAUUCAGCAGAGAUAGACUAGUUGAAGUGAGAAAGGGGUUCUUUGGUGGCAACAACUGUGAGAACUAGUGAGAAUUACUGUUGAUGCAUUGAUAUAUCUCUUGGUUGGGAAAGCUCUUCGUUGUAGAUUUUCAAAAUUAAAGCAGAAGCAAAGGAGUGUUUGUGAUUGCUAUCCAACUUUUUAACAAAAGCCUCAUAUAUAUAAUGGAUUUCAAUGAUGAUAAUGAGCUAUUGAGUUCAUUAGUCUAGUUUUUAUUUAUGGGUCAUAGGUUUAAACUCAUACUAUUUAGUAUUUUUUUAAAAAAAUUUCUGACUAGUUCUUUAAUUGCUUGUUUAUGGUUUUAGGAUUCUUGUAACAUGCAUAUUGAUAUGUGGUGAUCUCAUUCUUCUUUUGGAUGGACUCAUACUCUAAGUAAGGGAUCACUUAUGUUUCAUGUUUGCUACUCUAUUUGCUUUGUUGUAUUAUUUGAUAAUUGAUUUUAAAGUUAAUAACUGCAAAAAAUAAUUAUUUAAGAAUAUAUGGGGAACAAGUCUACCUGCAUAAGGAUGUUUACGUCAGAGAAAUUGUUUGUUUCUUUUAGUAAUAUGGGAUGGCCUAUCUCAUACUUAUAAGCAUGGUUUAUUUCUUUUAUUAAUAUGAGAGGCCUAUCUCAUACUUAUAAAUAGUCUAUAUAAUUUAGAUGGUUAUAUUUGUUUAAUAGAUUUUAGUUUCAUAGAUUUUGAAUAUGAUUCAUCCCCAAAACCAAUUUGUUUUCUUCCACACUUUAUCUAACAUUAAAAUCAUAUUAUACUGUUUUCCAAUAUAAUUUCAUCAGAAGGUUCAUUUUCCCCUUGAUCUACAUUGAGAUGAAAUUCUUCUUGGAUCUCAUCAAUAUCUUCAUUAUCAUUUUGAUGUUCAACCUCAUUUUCCUCAUUAUCAUUUUGAUGUUCAAUCUUAUUUUUCUUAUUAGAUAUAUUGAUCUCAUUUUCCUCAUUAGAUAUAUUGAUGUAUUUAAAACUAACUGCUGGUGUUUAAUUUGUGGAUCAAAAUUUCAAGCUUGAGAGGAAAUUGACAUAACAAUACCUCUAACCAGAAUUCAGCAGAGAUAGACUAGUUGAAGUGAGAAAGGGGUUCAUUGGUAGCAACAACUGUGAGAACUAGUAAGAAUUACUGUUGAUGCAUUGGUGUAUUUCUUAAAAGUAAUUGCUGGUGUUUAAUUUGCGGAUCAAAAUUUUAAGCUUGAAAGGAAAUUGACAUAACAAUACCUCUAACCAGAAUUCAGCAAAGAUAGACUAGUUGGAGUGAGAAAGGGGUUCUUUGGUGGCAACAACUGUGGGAACUACUGUUGAUGCAUUGAUGUAUCUCUUAAAAGUAACCACUGGUGUUUAAUUUGUGGAUAAAAAUUUCAAGCUUGAGAGGAAAUUGACAUAACAAUAUCUAUAACCAGAAUUCAGCAGAGAUAGACUAGUUGAAGUGAGAAAGGGGUUCUUUGGUGGCAAGAACUGUGAGAACUAGUGAGAAUUAUUGUUGAUGCAUUGAUGUAUCUCUUGGUUGGGAAAGCUCUUCGAUGUAGAUUUUCAAAAAUAAAGCAGAAGCAAAAGAGUGUUUGUGGUUGCUAUCCAACUUUUUAACAAAAG
rnacentral:lncRNA from 1 species